rnacentral:rRNA from 1 species
CAGAGGGUGCAAGCGUUGUUCGGAUUUACUGGGCGUAAAGCGCGUGUAGGCGGUGACAUAAGUCGGAUGUGAAAUCCCUCGGCUUAACCGAGGACGUGCACCCGAUACUGUGCCACUUGAGUACCGGAGGGGAUGGCGGAAUUCCUGGUGUAGAGGUGAAAUUCGUAGAUAUCAGAAGGAACACCUGUGGCGAAGGCGGCCAUCUGGACGGUAACUGACGCUGAGACGCGAAAGCGUGGGUAGCAAACAGGAUUAGAUACCCUGGUAGUCCACGCUGUAAACGAUGAGUGCUAGGCGUCGCGGGUAUUGACCCCUGCGGUGCCGAAGUUAACACGUUAAGCACUCCGCCUGGGGAGUACGGUCGCAAGAUUA